UACGGGGGGAGCAAGCGUUGUUCGGAUUUACUGGGCGUAAAGGGCGCGUAGGCGGUCAGCACAAGUCAGUUGUGAAAUCUCCGGGCUUAACUCGGAAAGGUCAACUGAUACUGUGCGACUAGAGUGCAGAAGGGGCAACUGGAAUUCUCGGUGUAGCGGUGAAAUGCGUAGAUAUCGAGAGGAACACCUGCGGCGAAGGCGGGUUGCUGGGCCGACACUGACGCUGAUGCGCGAAAGCGUGGGGAGCGAACCGG
rnacentral:rRNA from 1 species